rnacentral:miRNA from 1 species
GCAGCAGCAUCAAGAUUCACA